CACGUAGGGGGCGAGCGUUGUCCGGAUUUAUUGGGCGUGAAGAGCUCGUAGGUGGCUUAGUAAGUCGGGUGUGAAACCUCCAGGCUUAACCUGGAGACGCCAUCCGAUACUGCUAUAGCUUGAGUCCGGUAGGGGAGCGUGGAAUUCCUGGUGUAGCGGUGAAAUGCGUAGAUAUUGGGAAGAACACCAGCGGCGAAAGCGCGCUACUGGGCCAUUACUGACACUCAUGGACGAAAGCUAGGGGAGCGAAAGGG
rnacentral:rRNA from 1 species